rnacentral:misc_RNA from 1 species
AACCUAGCACACCUGCGGUGUGUACCUGCGGAAGGAUCAUUACCGAGUAACUAGGUUGGCGCUCACGCCUCCCGUUCUCCCACCCUAUGUUUAUUUACCCCUGUUGCCUCGGCGGGCCUGCAGGCCACACCUGCUGCUGGUCUCGGCUAGCUAGCGUCCGCCGGAGGGCCUAUUAAACUCUAUUUUAACGUGUUGUCUGAGUAAAACCCUAAUAAGUUAAAACUUUUAACAACGGAUCUC